AUGAACGCUAGCGACAGGCCUAACACAUGCAAGUCAGGGGCAGCACAAGGAGCAAUCUGAGGUGGCGACCGGCGCACGGGUGAGUAACACGUAUGCAACCUGCCUGUAAGCGGGGAAUAACCCGUUGAAAGACGGACUAAUACCGCAUAAUACUAAAUUACUGCAUGGUAAUUUAUUUAAACAUUUAUGGCUUACAGAUGGGCAUGCGCAUGAUUAGCUAGUUGGAGAGGUAACGGCUCCCCAAGGCAACGAUCAUUAGGGGUUCUGAGAGGAAGGUCCCCCACACUGGUACUGAGACACGGACCAGACUCCUACGGGAGGCAGCAGUGAGGAAUAUUGGUCAAUGGACGAGAGUCUGAACCAGCCAAGUCGCGUGCAGGAAGAAUGUCCCUAUGGAUUGUAAACUGCUUUUGCAGGGGAAUAAAGUGCAUCACGUGUGAUGUUUUGAAUGUACUCUGCGAAUAAGGAUCGGCUAACUCCGUGCCAGCCGCCGC
rnacentral:rRNA from 1 species